CUGUAGGCAUUUGGCAGUAGCCCUGUGGAGAGAUUCUGUAUUAUGAUAAUCUGCAGAUCAUAUCUGCUCUCAUGCCAUCACUUCUGUAGUAGCUGGGUCAAAGGGAAUCUUGGGAGAUUGAAGGUGGAUUACUUUGGCUUGUGUUAAGAGUGUAGCACAGCUGGGUAUAAGAUCUUUGUAAUAGGUCUGAAGUGGAAGGAUUCUGAAGGGGAGAACCUAUCCCGUGGCUUUAAUCAGGAUGUCAGAUCAUUUUAUGGGAUGCAGUACUCAGCAGCACUUACUUUUGAGUCUCCUUUGUACCUACCAAUUGCCUAUUGUCAAAUUAUCUUCAUAACGGUUAUAGAAUUGUAUAUCAUUAUCCUGUGUUUCUUCAUGCUUUUCUGCUGGACUGAGUUGAGGGGAUGAAAUUGCUCAGAUGCCUGAGGCGACAGACUGAGUUGACUAGAAUCAUCAUGAUUAUUCAAAUGAGAAUUAUCCAAAUGACCCAGAUUUCUUCCCUGCUGCAUCAUGACAAAUUGCUAGACAAUGACACCUCUACUGUCUGCAUUUCUGUGGGCAGACACAUUUGGAUACCCAUACAGAAGGAACCUACACAACAAACAGCCUGAACACGCAGGGUACAAUGGUGAUGUCUAAACACAGGUAUUCCACAUCAUAACAUCGUAUAGUGCACUGGGAGUUAAAGUGUUAAUGCUCCAGUUCCGGGCAUCUGUCCGGAAGAGAAGAACUACAUCCUCUAGGCGGCUUUGUGGUUGGAGAGGAGAUAUAACCUCUGGCAAAGUCACCUGAUGUCCAUCUUCUUCCCUUGGCUCUCAUCCCGACCACAUGCAUCACCUCAGCACUACUGUAAGGCCUACAGCUCUCAGACACUCUUUC
rnacentral:lncRNA from 1 species